UAUCACUUAUAUCGUGCCAACAUAUUACGCAGCGCUUUACAAUUCUAAAAUGGGGAUAUUUAACAUCAAGUAAGUUACAUAUGCAAGAACGAGCAGAUUUCAAGAGUCAAUGAAAAGGGGUCUGUUUGUUGAGUAAAGAGGAGUGGACCCAGAUUCUUACAUUUCAUGAACUAGAAAUCGCCUGAAAUGUUUUUCUGUUUGAAUACUACACAUGCUAUAGUAACCUCCUAUCUAUGCUGUAACCUUGUUUAUACAUGCAGAGUGCUAUCAUUUAAAGCAGCAGCUUUUGCUGUGUGUCCACAAAAGCUCAGCUAGUUCCUGGUCUUGGCAGAACUUUGAACAAGCACUUCAUUCACAUCUUACCAGAGAUCUGCUGAAGUAGCGGAGGACGGAAACGGUGCUCGCCGACCCCCAGAUAAGAAGUUAAAUUGUGUAGUGGCU